rnacentral:rRNA from 1 species
GUGCCUAAUACAUGCAGUCGAGCGGACCGACGGGAGCUUGCUCCCUUAGGUCAGCGGCGGACGGGUGAGUAACACGUGGGUAACCUGCCUGUAAGACUGGGAUAACUCCGGGAAACCGGGGCUAAUACCGGAUGCUUGAUUGAACCGCAUGGUUCAAUCAUAAAAGGUGGCUUUUAGCUACCACUUACAGAUGGACCCGCGGCGCAUUAGCUAGUUGGUGAGGUAACGGCUCACCAAGGCGACGAUGCGUAGCCGACCUGAGAGGGUGAUCGGCCACACUGGGACUGAGACACGGCCCAGACUCCUACGGGAGGCAGCAGUAGGGAAUCUUCCGCAAUGGACGAAAGUCUGACGGAGCAACGCCGCGUGAGUGAUGAAGGUUUUCGGAUCGUAAAACUCUGUUGUUAGGGAAGAACAAGUACCGUUCGAAUAGGGCGGUACCUUGACGGUACCUAACCAGAAAGCCACGGCUAACUACGUGCCAGCAGCCGCGGUAAUACGUAGGUGGCAAGCGUUGUCCGGAAUUAUUGGGCGUAAAGCGCGCGCAGGCGGUUUCUUAAGUCUGAUGUGAAAGCCCCCGGCUCAACCGGGGAGGGUCAUUGGAAACUGGGGAACUUGAGUGCAGAAGAGGAGAGUGGAAUUCCACGUGUAGCGGUGAAAUGCGUAGAGAUGUGGAGGAACACCAGUGGCGAAGGCGACUCUCUGGUCUGUAACUGACGCUGAGGCGCGAAAGCGUGGGGGAGCGAACAGGAUUAGAUACCCCUGGUAGUCCCACGCCGUAAACGAUGAGUGCUAAGUGUUAGAGGGUUUCCGCCCUUUAGUGCUGCAGCAAACGCAUUAAGCACUCCGC